GCUGUAGCUCAAUGGUAGAGCAUUUGCUUUGCAUGCAGAAGGUCCCAGGUUCAAGUCCCAGCAUCUGCA